rnacentral:rRNA from 1 species
UACGUAGGUGGCGAGCGUUGUCCGGAAUUACUGGGUGUAAAGGGCGUGUAGGCGGGGAUAUAAGUCAGAUGUGAAAUUUAGGGGCUUAACUCCUAAGCUGCAUCUGAAACUAUGUUUCUUGAGUGCUGGAGAGGAAAGCGGAAUUCCUAGUGUAGCGGUGAAAUGCGUAGAUAUUAGGAGGAACACCAGUGGCGAAGGCGGCUUUCUGGACAGUAACUGACGCUGAGGCGCGAAAGCGUGGGGAGCAAACAGGAUUAGAUACCCUGGUAGUCCACGCUGUAAACGAUGGAUACUAGGUGUAGGAGGUAUCGACCCCUUCUGUGCCGGAGUUAACACAAUAAGUAUCCCACCUGGGGAGUACGGCCGCAAGGUUGAA